UAGUCUUGAAAUGCACAAAAAAGGCAGAAAUAGUAGGUGAGUGAUGAUAAGUGGACGGAUAAUGAGGUAAGUGGACUCUUAGGUGCUAGGCAGCAUCGUGCGACCGUUUUGAAUUGGCGGAAACCCACUGUCUCCAUUCGCGAAAAGUGGCAUACCGUAGUUCUGUGUCGAGCUUUACAGCAUCGU